rnacentral:rRNA from 1 species
GCCGCGCCCAACUACAGAGUGAGGCGGAGGCCGAUCGCCGUAGGUCGCCGCGAUGCUCGCCGGCGUGGAGCACCAGGCCGGCGUGCUUCGGGUCCGCGCGAGCGGCUUUAGCUGCCGUUGUGGGCGGAUGCUGAGGGCCGCGGCAGCCUCCACCGCUCCACAGACACGCCUCCAUCCGCACGAUCCUCGCCGUCGUCGAGCUGACCGUCGUCGCCGCCAUCCGAAGCUUCCGUCCCCGAGCUGACCAUACUCGACGGCGACGGAGUCUGUCGUCGCCGAGUUGUGUCUCCUCCGCCGCACACCUUCACGUCCGUCGCAACGGCACGGCCAUUUUCAGGCGAUAGCAUCGCCCCUCGCCUCGGCGCCCACCUCGGCCGCGUCUUCUCCGAGCACGGCGUCCAUGGGCGACGGGACCCUCCUCGUCUUCUCCGACUUAUCGGACACCGGGGAACUCAUGCGCUGCGCGUUCACCCGGAGGCGACGGCGCCAUCCUGCGUGGCGGCACCCUCCACGGCCAUGUCUUCUCCUUGCACGGUGACCAGGCGCUGCCCAUGGGCAACGGGACCAUCCUGGUCGUCUUCUCCGGCCGCUCGGGCGUUCAGAAACUCGUCUGCUGCACAUGACCUCUCGAAGGACAG